UACGUAGGGUCCGAGCGUUGUCCGGAAUUACUGGGCGUAAAGAGCUCGUAGGUGGUUUGUCACGUUGUUCGUGAAAACCCACAGCUCAACUGUGGGCGUGCGAGCGAUACGGGCAGACUAGAGUACUGCAGGGGAGACUGGAAUUCCUGGUGUAGCGGUGGAAUGCGCAGAUAUCAGGAGGAACACCGGUGGCGAAGGCGGGUCUCUGGGCCGUAACUGACGCUGAGGAGCGAAAGCGUGGGGAGCGAACAGG
rnacentral:rRNA from 1 species